ACUGUGUGUGUCCAGUUGUGAUUGGAAUACAUUGUAGAAACUCAAGUAAAUAUCUUCUAAUGACUCAAUGAAUUGAUUUAUUUGGGAUGCUUUAUAAAAAGUAUAACUUUUUCCUAAUGCAGAAUGUCCUAGUAGAAAUAAAAAAAUACAGGAUAUCAAUAAUUCAUAGCAUUCCCAAGGAAGGAUACAAGUAAUCGUAUUAAGUAAAAUGAUAAAAUAAUACAAGUCUUAAUGUUGAUGCCCAACAUCAAGCCAUUUUUAAGAAUCACAAGCAGUGCAGCAGUAUUAUUGCUGAUGCUUUAAAGCUGAGCCAUUUUUUCUUAGAUAUUUAUAGGAUGGCUUUGUAGGUAAAAUACAGGAGUAAAUACCUGUGCUAGGUUGUUUUAUUGUGCAGUUAUUCAUUCUUCCUUUCCUGUAAGAAAAUUAUACAUUGUUGCUCAUUGACAUCAGGCUUAAGGGGCCCCUUAUGGACAGAAUAUAUAUUCUCUGCUCUAUUGAUGUUUGACCUGACCACGUGAUGUGCUUUAGUCAAUGGAAUAAAUGUAGGCAUGAUGUAUACUGUUUUUGAGAAGAAACUUUAAAAGGUACUAAUGAAAUUUCUUUGCCUGUUUGUUUCUGCUUUCUGUAUGGGUCCUGGAAUAAAAAUAUAUGGAUGAGGAUUGCAGCUGACUUCAGCCUACGUGCAGUUUGAAUAUUAAAUUCCAUACCACUUCAGGAGGCACACGUUAUCUUCUGUGGCCUGACUCCUACCAUAUCAGUGUACUCUCAACCAGAAAACUGUUACAGAAGAUGUCCGAGCAUAUGGAAAAGAAACUUGAACAUGGAACAAGGAGACACGGGUUCAGCCUCUGGGCAAGUAAGUCUUAAUCUUGUUAUUUUAAUACCAUAUAUUGAAUGCUUUCUGUGCUGAGAGUGUUGUAUACAUUCAUUUAAUCCUCACACUAACUGUAUGAUGCAGGCCAUCUUAUCUUUAACUACCUUCCUGUCUAUCUACCUAUAUAGUUAAUAAUCCUAGUUGACAAAACUGAGACUCAAGAAGUUUACGAAAUGUAAAUUCC
rnacentral:lncRNA from 1 species